GGAUGGGUGGCCGAGCGGUUUAAGGCUCCAGUCUUGAAAACUGGCGUGGAGGCAACUCCACCGUGGGUUCGAAUCCCACCCCAUCCGCCA
rnacentral:tRNA from 1 species